GUGCUACUGCCUCCGUUCGGAAUUACUUGUCGCAUAAAUGGAUGUAUCUAGACGUAAACUCUAGAUACAUCCAUUUAUGCGACAAGUAAUUCCGAACGGAGGGAGUAGUCA
rfam:Triticum aestivum genome assembly, contig: Triticum_aestivum_CS42_TGACv1_scaffold_423370_5BS